rnacentral:lncRNA from 1 species
GAGGGGAUAAACAAUAUAAUAAAUUACAUUAGAGACGUGGUCGGAAAAACAGGGUAAAGAGAUGGCUCGAUUAACAUUAAUAUCGAUGUUAGUUCUCUUGGCAGGAUCAAUGCUUAUGGUCCAAGGCGGAGAUCCCACCCUUUUUUUCGAAUGGAACGUCACCUAUGGAACCAUUGCUCCCUUGGGAGUGCCAGUAAAGGGUAUUCUUAUUAACGGGCAAUUCCCGGGACCAAAUCUUAACUCUACCACCAACAACAAUAUCGUGGUCAAUGUGUUCAAUAACCUUGAUGAGCCAUUCCUUGUAACAUGGUAAGCGACUACCAAGAGUAUUUUCUUUUUUACAUUAAAAUGAUUAUGCUAGUGAAGAGUCGAGCUAAUUAUCUGUGGAAAUGGGAUUUGUUGCAGGGACGGCGUGCAGCAUAGGAAGAACUCUUGGCAAGAUGGUGUUCUGGGAACCAACUGUCCUAUCCCCCCUGGGAAGAAUUACACCUAUAAAUUCCAGGUGAAGGAUCAGAUUGGCAGCUACAUGUACUAUCCGGUGACGGCUAUGCAUAAGGCGGUUGGUGGUUUCGGUGGCCUCCGUGUUAACAGCCGUCUACUCAUCCCUGUUCCCUACGCCGAUCCGGCUGAUGACUAUACUCUCUUAGUGGGAGACUUUUUCAACAAGGGACACACCAGCCUCAAGAAGAUUCUUGAUAGCGGUCGCAACCUUGGGAGAUGUGACGGUGUCCACCUUAAUGGGAAAGUUGCGAAAGGUGAUGGGAAGGAUGAACCUCUGUUUACGAUGGAGGCAGGCAAAACGUACAAGUACAGGAUUUGCAAUACGGGUAUCAAGACAUCUCUGAACGUCAGGUUCCAGGGCCACACCAUGAAAUUGGUUGAGAUGGAGGGUUCCCACACAAUGCAGAAUGACUAUGACUCCCUUGAUGUGCAUGUUGGACAGUGCUUCAGUGUGCUUGUUACUGCCAACCAGGAACCAAGGGAUUACUAUGUGGUGGCCUCUACCCGUUUUACCAGACGUGAGGUUACAGCAACCGGCAUCAUCCGUUACAAGAAUGGCAAGGGAGCUGCCUCAUCCGAGUUGCCACCACCACCUGUUGGUUGGGCUUGGUCACUCAAUCAAUUCCGUACCUUCCGUUGGAACUUGACUUCUAACGCUGCUAGGCCUAACCCUCAGGGCUCCUACAAAUAUGGUUCCAUUAACAUUACCCGCACCAUCAAGCUUGCCAACACUGCACAAAGAGUAGAUGGCAAGCUCCGAUAUGCUCUUAAUGGAGCCUCCUAUGUCGAAUCAACCACUCCACUAAAACUUGCAGAAUACUACGGCGUAGCCGACAAGGUUUUCAAGUAUGAUACCAUUCCCGAUGAGCCACCAAGUGACAACACUAAGGUAACUUUGGCACCUAUUGUCCUCAACAUGACACACAGAAACUUUGUGGAAAUCAUCUUCGAGAAUCCCGAGACCGCCAUUCAGUCUUACCACUUGUCUGGCUACUCAUUCUUUGCCGUGGGGUAAGUAUAGCUUCUAACGUAACAAAUACAUGUGGUGAUUUUAUUGCCUGAGUUGAAGUAAUAAGUUGUAUAAUGAUUUGUUGCAGCAUGGACAUUGGGAAAUGGAGCCCUGAGAAGAGGAUGAACUACAAUCUUCUCGACGCCGUGAGCAGACACACCAUACAGGUAUUCCCCAACUCCUGGUCAGCAAUCCUAUUGACAUUCGACAACUGCGGGAUGUGGAACCUGAGGUCGGAGAUAUGGGACAGGCAUUACCUUGGGCAACAGCUUUAUGCUAGUGUUAUUUCCCCUAACCGAUCCCUCAAGGAUGAGUACAACUUGCCGGAAGGUGUAUUGACUUGCGGCAUCGUGCAAGGCAUGCCAAGGCCUCCACCUUUCAGCAGUUAAUUUAAAUAAGCUUAAAAAUCUGUAUCCAAUUAUGGUAUAUGGGGAGAGAGAGGGUGAGAAAAGCUGAGUUCUGUACAAUAUGUAAUGAAAUAAAAGCUUUUGGACCACUUUAUUGUUACUAAUUUUCGUGUGUUGCCCUCGAAUAUACACACAAUAUUUAAGUUAUUUUCAAUAUAAAAAAAACAGAUAUUUUCAAAAUUGUACAAUAUUUAAAGAUGAAUGAUUUAAACAUGGUUUAUACUACUAAUUAGUUUGAUAUGUUCAAAAUUGAUAUAAAUAAAUAAUUAAGUUAUAUUAACAAAGAAAUUUAAAAUAAAUAAUCUAUAUAUAUAUUUUUUGUUGAUAUACUUCUGCUUGGAACAUUGAUCUUCAUCAAUAUAAAUAAAUCAUUCUACUAUGGCGGUUCAACUUUUUGUUUAUUUUUAUUCAUUUAUUUUUGUAAAUUUCAAAAAAAAGUUAAGUCAUUGUGUACAAUUUAUACUUAAUUAAGUCCCUAUCAUUAAUUAAAAUAAUCAAUUAAGCCACGUAAAAUAAAUUGAUGGAGCAAUAGAUAGAGAUAGUAAUAGCUUCUAGAUUAAUCUAUUAUUUUUCCUAUAAAAAUAUUAAAAAAUUAAAAAAAUAUUAUCAAAAAUAUAAAUAUUAUUAAAUAUUAAAAAAAUAAAAUUGGUAUAAACUUAUAAAUUUUAAAAAAUUCUAAAAUUAAUAAAAAUAUAUUUAAAAUUUUAUAAAAAACAUUACAACUCUAUAAAAAUAAUAAAAAAUAUUAGAAGUAUUAAAUUUGAUAUAAAAUAAUAAUAACUUGAUUUGGGUUGGAUUAGUCAGUUGGACCGGUUAGACCAAAAUCGACAAGGAUAUCGAUCUAGAGAAAGCCAUUAGGCCAGUUGACAUUAGAACCGGAUGGUUGAACCGAUUCUUUAUCUUUUUAAUAUAUAUAUUUUAUUUCUUAAUGUUUUAUUUAAUUAAACUAGACGGAUCAGUGGAAGUGGUAAACCGAUGGCUUAAUUUAAAUUUUUUUGGAAAAGAUAUUAGAUUAAACUAUAAGCUACCACGUCUCAUCAUCUAAUUGGCCUACCAAUUUUUUUUAACAGUCAAUGUAAUCAAUUUCGAACAUCGUUAAAUAUUUUAAUUAAUGCCAAGAAUUUAAUUGGGUGCGAAUUUAAUAUAUGGAUAGACUUUUUGACAUAUAAACCUAUUAAAAAUAAGGUUAUUAUAUAUUAUCUCCCAAUAAUUACAUGGAAUAUUUGAAAUUCAAGCACUCCCUAGAUGACUUUGCUUGGAAACUAGCAUAAUUUAAGUUACUCUUCGCACGAAGAUGGACAAAUUGUGGAUGAUUAAGAAAUUGAAUAGUCUGCUAUGUUUGAAUAUGCUACUAUCUCGUUCUAAUAAUUGAAUUAUUUGAACAAAGUUGAGAAACAAGACCGGAACGUCAAGAAUCCAAGGACGAAUAAUGAAUUUGGUUUGUGAUCUCGUGUCAUAACUCAUUAAGUAGCUAAGUUUAAUGAAUUGAUAUUGAUGAAUGUUCUCAUAAAAGGCAUGUUAGCUUAAUUGACUUUGAUGGCAAUGGUUGUGAUGAUAUUCAUAUGUGUAUAUAUAUUUGUGAUGUGGAUUACGAUCAUGAAAAUAUUAUGAAAGGGAUUAAAGAUAUGUAAAUUUAUGUUUAAGGAUGUUAAGAAUGAGGACUAUUUUAGUAUUUUGGUGUAUUGAGCGUUAGGACAUAUCACUAACUUUAAUUCUUUGUUGGGUUAUUAAGUAAUUCAAUAUAUUAAUUUUUGCGUAUUCUCCAUUGAAUCUGAAAUCGAUUAAUAGGAACUAAAAUAUAAGUGUAUUAUGUGUCUAAGAUACAUAAGUGGUAUAUGAUUGAAAUCGAUUAAAAGGGACUAAAAUAUAAGUAUUAUGUGACUUAUGCUUAAGUUAUAAGAGACUCUGUAAGUCUUAGGAUGAUUUGAGAAAUAAGAUGACAUGUUUAAAUGGUAUCAAUUGUCUUUUUAUACCUUAAUGUCCGAUUUUCGUAUAUCUCAGAAUUUUCUCACUCGAAUCAAUUCGACUUUGUAACCAUACUCUAAGGCCUCAAACUAUCAAUAAAAUACCAUUUUUGUCCAAAGUUCUCAACAAUCUCAUUCAAGCUCUCAAGAACUCAUCAAUGGCUAUAUUAUCUAUGUCUAAUCAAGUCUUGUUUCUACACAUCCCACUUCAUUUCUAGCAUGUUUUCCACAAAGUUGAAGCUUAACACUAGAUAUUCAUGGAUUCAGGUUUUCAUUCUCUAAGUUCUCUAAUGCUUAGGCUAUGUUCAUCAAAGUAUCACAAACUAAGAUUUUAACAAAUUCAAGUGAAAAGUUCACCUUCCUUAGUAAUUUGAUGGACGAUAAUGGAAGAGUAACCUAAAGAAUUUCUUUCUUUCUUUUGCUUCUCUCACCAAUUGAACACACACACACACACAUAUAUAUAUACAUAAUUAAUCUAAUUACUCAUUAAUCUAAUGGCUGCAAUUGAGCUUAAAGAAUGGUCAAUAGAAAUGAAUGGCAAGGAUCAACGCAAGCCACUAACUAAGAAUAAAUCUUGGUUUAACAGUACUUAGGUUCUUGGCAUAAUUACCACUGACAAAUUUGUUUAAUUCUUAAAUCAAUUCUCUUUAUUUUAUUCACCUCACAAUUAGUCUUUGAUCAAUAAUUACUAUUCUUUCAAUCUAGUCCUUGUACUUAAUAAUUUAUCUAAUUUAAUCCCUUAAUAAUUCUAAUUUCUAAUUUCAUGUUCAUCUUGUAAAUGUCUUGAUUUAAGAUUUUUGGACUAGUUCGGCUUCGAGAAUUCAGCCCUGAAAUUGAAAUUUUUGACCCCAGUGAAAAUCAGAAUGUUAUAUGCAAACUGCUCAACAUCCUGCAAGGUCUCCAUAAUGGAUUUCUUCAUAUUUGUGUCAUUGUUGCUCAUGUCUGAUCCACCCCUGGUAUUCACUUCAACUGUAACAAUGGUCAUAUUCGUUGCCAUGAGUGAUGUGGAAAAAUUUGUUAAUAUUUCGUUAAGUAAUUUGAAAUGGAUCAUGAGUAAUUUGGUGGAAAGAGUUAAUAAAAUAAUUUCUCCACAUUUUGGGUGUUCAAAAUUUAAUUUAUUAUAAAAUCUCUUGUAGAUGAUGUCACAAAUGAAUUUGUCAUGUAUGCCUAAACUCUUGCAAAAAAAAAAAGAACUAAUUAUUUUUUUUUUCAAAUUAUUUUUUUGUGUCAUAAUUUAAGUUUUCAUAUAAGAAGGUUGGUUUCACUUUAAUACAAUUUCUAUUUUUAAAAAUUACAAUAGUUUAUCUAUAUUUAUAAUAAAAGAAUAACUAAAAAGGUAAAAGAAAAAAACUAGAGUAUUUUUCAUAGAAGCAACUACUUUCCUAAAGAAAAGGUUAGCCAUCCAUAGAGUGAAUAUUCAAAUCCUUGUGAUAACAGAGAACAAUGAUUCAAAAUUGUAAAACCAAAAAUGGAUUAGUGCUAAAAGCAAGGAAAUAAAUGAAUGGAUGAGCUUCUUCUAAGGGAUUAAGAUGGAAGAAUGGAAGAGGGGAUUGUGUGGUAUAAAAGGAGAGGUAUGCAUGCAAUUCAAAAUCAACUCAAGCAAACCAUCUUCCUCUUCCUCUAGAAGGGGAUAAUUAAUAAAUUACUGUCGGGCGAAAAAAAAGGGUAAGAGAUGGCUCGAUUAAUGUUAAUAUCGAUGCUAUUUCUCUUGGCAGGAUCAAUGCUUAUGGUCCAGGGCGGAGAUCCCACCCUUUUUUUCGAAUGGAACGUCACCUAUGGCACCAUUGCUCCCUUGGGAGUGCCAGUAAAGGGUAUUCUUAUUAACGGGCAAUUCCCGGGACCAAAUCUUAACUCUACCACCAACAACAAUAUCGUGGUCAAUGUGUUCAAUAACCUUGAUGAGCCAUUCCUUGUAACAUGGUAAGCGACUACCAAGAGUAGUUUCUUUUUUACAUUAAUAUGAUUAUGCUAGUGAAGAGUCGAGCUAAUUAUCUGUGGAAAUGGGAUUUGUUGCAGGG